UACGGAGGGGGCAAGCGGUGUUCGGAAUUACUGGGCGUAAAGGGCGCGUAGGCGGCCUGCUGCGUCGGGUGUGAAAGCCCCGGGCUCAACCUGGGAGGUGCACUUGAUACGGGCGGGCUGGAAUCCGGGAGAGGAUGGUGGAAUUCCCAGUGUAGAGGUGAAAUUCGUAGAUAUUGGGAAGAACACCGAUGGCGAAGGCAGCCAUCUGGACCGGUAUUGACGCUGAGGCGCGAAAGCGUGGGGAGCAAACAGG
rnacentral:rRNA from 1 species